GACGAACCGUGCGAACGUUAUUCGGAAUCACUGGGCUUAAAGCGCGUGUAGGCGGGUCGGCGCGUCGGCCGCUGAAAUCCCCCGGCUCAACCGGGGAAGCGGCGCCGAUACGGCCGGCCUGGAGGGACGUAGGGGGGGCUGGAACUCCGGUGGAGCGGUGAAAUGCGUUGAGAUCGGAAGGAACGCCCGUGGCGAAAGCGAGCCCCUGGACGUCUACUGACGCUGAGACGCGAAAGCCAGGGGAGCGAACGGG
rnacentral:rRNA from 1 species